rnacentral:rRNA from 1 species
GUGUCAGCAGCCGCGGUAAUACGUAGGUGGCAAGCGUUGUCCGGAUUUAUUGGGUUUAAAGGGUGCGUAGGCGGUCUAUUAAGUCAGUGCUGAAAUAUCCCGGCUUAACCGGGAGGGUGGCAUUGAUACUGAUGGACUUGAGUGCAGUCGAGGUAGGCGGAAUUGACGGUGUAGCGGUGAAAUGCUUAGAUAUCGUCAAGAACACCGAUAGUGAAGACAGCUUACUAGACUGUAACUGACGCUGAGGCACGAAAGUGUGGGGAUCAAACAGGAUUAGAAACCCGCGUAGUCC